GCGCCUCAGACGGUGACUCCAGGUCUGUUGCGUGCCCAGAGCUGUCUCCUCCAGCUGUUUGUCUGAGAGUCUAACCCUGCAAUCACUGGAGUCGGCCGAAUCUCCCUCCGCCCUGAUCUGUAAAGUGAAGGCAUGGAGAAAAGCAGUCCCCUUAAAGGCAAAGGAGAGAGGAGCAGUGACUAUGUAUGAAGAACCAGGUUUUAUUGCUGAUAUCUGGGGACAGAAUGUUUCAGGUCUGGCUAGCCAUCAACAUCUGCUGGACUACUGUGAUCAAGACCUGUGAAAAAGAGAACUGGAACUGCUGCUACCUGAAUGUGUCGUGACCUGGUUGAACUUUUUUUUAUAGAGAAGCAGCCAAUAGUUACCCAGUGAUACUCUUCACCGGCCAAACCACAUCUGGAGUUCUUUGUUCAGUUCUAGAUUGAGCACUUUAAGAAGACAUCAAAGAAGUUGGAAUUAUUUCAGAGGAGAGAAAAAUGAUGGAGAGAACUCAAAAGUACCACCAAUGAAGAAGUAGUGAUUGAACUUCGAAGGAUUUUUAUAGAAAGGAAAAAGCUACUGGGACUACCUCCAAAUAAGUAAAGACUCAUCAGAGGACAGAUUUGUUUCAUGUGGUCUUAA